UACGUAGGCAGCGAGCGUUGUUCGGAAUUACUGGGCGUAAAGAGUGUGUAGGCGGUGCUCUAAGUUCGGUGUGAAAUCUCCUGGCUCAACUGGGAGGGUGCGCCGGAAACUGGAGUGCUUGAGCGUGGGAGAGGAAAGCGGAAUUCCUGGUGUAGCGGUGAAAUGCGUAGAUAUCGGGAGGAACACCAGUGGCGAAGGCGAUCAUCUGGGAUUAACCUGACGCUGAGGAGCGAAAGCCAGGGGAGCAAACGGG
rnacentral:rRNA from 1 species